rnacentral:lncRNA from 10 species
AUGCUGGUGCAGGAGCAAUUCCAGGCUGUCCUGCCCGGAGCUCAGAGCUCAAGCACAGAGAUGUCAGCCUGGAAUCAGAAUCACUGGCUAAGUCUUGCUGCUUGCUUCUUGCUCAGCCUGCAUAUGAGAAGUCAACCAAGCAUUCUCUUGGAUGCAAGAUCCAACUGCACCCAUGGGAAAUCUGAACUUCCACUUUCUUUGAGCUUGUCUUUGGUUGUAAUAAGAAUCCAUCAAAACCCAUGUCUGGAUCUCUCUUUGGCUGAGGCAGCUUUAUUUCCUACAGAAUUUCUCUGUCCUCUUGUUAGGACAAUCAGCCUGCUGCUUUGGGCUUUUCCAAGAGCCUAUUUUUCAUCUGCUGGAUGCCUCUUUUUUUUUUUUUUUUUUUUUUUGCACUGUGUGACAUGCUUUAAUAUAUAUAUUUUUUAUGUAUCCAAAGAGGUAAUCAACUUUAACUUUCAGAAUUCA